ensembl:lncRNA novel transcript
GAGGCGCGGGGCGCGGAGUGGCAAGAGCGCAGCAUGGGCUGCGCAGAACUGAGGCAGACACCCAGAGGCUGCCAAAUUGUCAUCUGAGCCGGACCGGGUUUCGGCGGCCGCGCUUUAUAGUCGCUGGAGCCUGGUGACCUAUUCCAGGGCUACAAGACUGCCUCGGCAAACAGCCCAAGGAUGUUCGGUUAUCUCGCCUUGAGGGUUCGCGCGUCACGUGCCCCCCCCGUCCCCCGCUUGUUUUUCAGUUUAAAAGUGGGGCCCGUGUCUGCAGGACUCUAGGAGCUGCGGGCCCACCCAUUCACUGAUGUUACCCUCUCCUGUCAUUUCUCCUUUGUGAAGGGCACUGAAAAUCUUGAGUUUUCUUGGGAAAGAGAAGACAUCAAACAGGCAUAUGAGGUAGAGGAUAAUAAAGAAUAUUACCUCCUUUUCAAGUACCUUGAUUUUUUUGAAGUUUUCUCGAAGUUGGUUUACCAGUUUCACAAUAACACAGAGCAACUAGAAGAUCAAAAUUCCUUGUAUGAGGGAAGAGUAUCUGUGGACCAGGCUGAAAUUUCUGAGGGGACUCUAUCACUUUUACUAAGAAAUGUGGAUUUCAUGGAUGAAGCUAUCUACAAGUGCUCAGCCAUCACACCAGAUGGAAGAGGUGAAAGUACAAUUAAGCUAAUAGUAGAAGACUCUGAAAUGCCCCAGGUGCAAUUUGACAGGAUUGAUGAUGAGGAUGUGGCCACAUGCAUCUCAAAGGACUAGUACCUCACGCCCAUUGUGACAUGGCUGGACCGGACAGAGAGGGACCUGAGCAACCACAGCAUCGUGGAAAUCCUGGAGGAGCAGAUGAAUGGCUUCUACAGGGUGUUCUCCAUCCUGAAAUACCCUGUCAAGUUAAAUGAGAAAUAUCUCUGCCACAUAACAGAGACAGAUGUGAACAACCAGCUCUUCAGAAUCAUCCACAAGUAUCCAAGUAAGUGCAAAUCCGAAAGGAACAGUGAAAGUGGGGUGCAUUUCACCACAGAAAAGUCAUCAUUCAUUAAUAUUUACUGAAUGUCAAAUAUAUCAGGCAUGCCUUCGCACUUUGGGGAUUUAAAGAAGCAUCAGGAACAUACGCUUGGAGCCUUGGGCAAGAUAAGGUGGUGAAGUGGAGUCUCUCUGGGCUUGAAAAAAGAACAUGCUUCAGAGACUGACAGCUUUCUCCUGAUAGAUGUGGCUCUUACUAUUGAUGAGGUUUCUUUUCCUCUGCACAGAACAUCAGCUUUAUGACGUGGCAGGCUGAGUAGUCAUAGUGGCCAUUUAUUAGCCUCUCACCAUGUGCCUGGCACUUUACAUAUGUCACUUUAAUCUUUACCUCUAUUUUAAUUGUUAUUACUGCCCCUCUUCUAUAUGAGAAAACCAACAAGUUAAAUAAUUUGACUAAGGACAUAGCUAACAAGCACAAGACUCAGGAUUCAAACCCAUUCUUUCUGAAUCUAAAGUUCAUGCACUUCAUUUUUCUUAUGCAUAUACCACACUGCACUUACAGAUCUAAGACUAUAGACUGCAUGAAUAGAUCUAAGUCAUAUAUGUUUGGAGAAGGGGAUUCCCUGUGUAAUAAGCAAGGAGGCAAGAAAUAGAGUCACUGCUCCCACUCAAAUUCUGAGCAGUCUUUAAGUUGCCGUAUCAAAGGCUGUCUACAUUCUGGGGAAUCUUAAUUGAGUCCUCCAGAGAAAUUUUGAUGGAUACUUUUUUGUGUAGCUGUUCUAUUACUUCUAAACUGUCUAAACUUUUUCAAGUUAGGAAUUUGAAAAAAAAAAGCAUGUUAGAAAAAGAACAGGUAUUUACUGAACACAUACCAUAUGCUAGGGUGGACCCAGGUACUUUUGCAUAAGGUAUUUAACCCCACAAUGACCUCUGAGUUAGAUACUAACAUUACAGUAUUUAGCAGAGGAGGAAACCAAGGCUGAGAGAAGGUUAAGUAUUUACCAAAGGCUACACAGCUGACAGUCUUACAACCCAGGACUUGAACUUGGGUCUAAUUAUUAACAAAGGCCUGGGCACAUUCCACUAUGUGGUUGACUCGUGGGCCUUAAGUUCCUUGUGUCAAAGUAUCUGUAGCCUCAGGCUGAGGUCAUUGAUUUAUUCUGCCACCUGUGACCUCACCUGCCUCUCCAUCAAGAAGGAAGGGAUGGUGAUGAAUACACUUGCACGGUGAGCUAAUUCCUUCUACUUUCCUGUAUCCCUGACUUAGAGAUCUUAUUAAGACUUCUUUGGAGGGUUAGCUCUGGCAGGGACUUUGGCCAUCAUCUACCAAUCACAGCAUAUAGGGGUGACUAAACAGAAGUCCAGAGAGGUGAGAUAAUUGUCCAAGGUAAUACACACUCUAUACAAGAAGUAUUAAUGGAGUCUGACUUCAUGCAAAGGUUGGGCAGUUACCUUUCAGGUCUAGUCUGUAGGGGCCUGGCAAUUAAUCAAAGCAUUCAAAACACUAUUGCAAUCCUGGAUCUCCCAGUAACUAGCCGUAAAUAUUUACAACCGUUAAGAGUAUUUAUUUAAAUUUUUAAUGACUUGGGAAAAUACCCGCACUAUCAUGUUAAAAUUUUAAAAAGCAAAAUAGUAGCUUGUAUGUGUAGCAUGAGCCCCAGUUGUUUAACUAUAUGGAGAUUUAAAAGAUAGGAUGUAUUAUUAUUAUUAUU